rnacentral:rRNA from 1 species
AGCGUUAAUCGGAAUUACUGGGCGUAAAGUGUGCGCAGGCGGCACCGCAAGUCGAGUGUGAAAGCCCCGGGCUUAACUUGGGAAUUGCGCUCGAAACUAUGGUGCUGGAGUGUGGCAGAGGAAGGUGGAAUUCCAGGUGUAGCGGUGAAAUGCGUAGAGAUCUGGAGGAACACCGAUGGCGAAGGCAGCCUUCUGGGCCAACACUGACGCUCAUGCACGAAAGCGUGGGGAGCAAACAGG